GGAGGCGCCCGGCCCUGUCCUCCUGAGACCCUGUGGCCCCGUCUGUAGGGUGGGGGGUGAGGGCCUGUGCUGGGCCCAGGCAGUGGUUGGUUCUCAGAUCCUGAGCCUCUGUGCCCUCUACUGAGGUGGGGACGCACCACCCUCCCGUGUGGAUGGAGCUGGGGCGGGGUCUGACGUCCACUGCAUCCAGGCUUAGCCCCGGAAUCUCAGGUGUCCACUGGAACCCGGAGCAGAGGCAGCUGGGGGCUGUGGGGAUCACCCUGAUGGACCCCCGUUCCCUACUGCAGGGCCCAGGUGCCCUCCCAGGACCCCCUCGUUUUGCCCAGGAGGUUGGCAGGGGCAGUGGCUCAGCCCAGGGUCGGGAGACAGCCUGUAGGGCCCCUCGAUGCCCAGGACCCUUCCUGAGGCCAGCCUGGGACAGAUGCCCCUGAGGGACCCUGCACAGCAGGCAUGACCCUCCAGAAGCCCCUCCCUCCAGCCUGGAGAAGGCACAGGUGCGUGUGGGGGUCCGGGCAGUUCUGCAGUUAGGGUGGUGUGUCUCCAUAUGGGUCUUGCUGAUUAGGAGGAAGCCACAUCUUCCAGUCUCGGGUGGGCAGCAGCACCAGGCCCUCUUCGGCGGAACAUCUGAGCAUCCAGCAUGAGAACGUCACCAGGACCCUUGGAGUUGCCGCUCACUAGAGCACCACAGUUCUCCCAGUCCAGGAAGGCUUCCCGUGGUGACCAGGCCCCACGUCCCAGCCUCGCCGUAGCCUGGGCAUCAGUUUCUUGCGGGUUCUGACUGUGAGGAUGAGGGGUGGGGACACGGCUCUGGAAACACCCUCCAAGUAGGCCGCUGUGUCCCUCCCUGGUCUCCCAUAGGGCCCCUCCUGAGAGCCUGGGGUCCUUGGGCAGACCCCAGGGAGCCCAGGCUGACCCCUAGAACCAGCCUUUUCCAAGGUCCUCCAGGGCCUCUGGGUCUGAGCCUGCAUUUCUUCACCCAUAACACGGGCAGUGGGGGCCACGCCCUGACUUCUGGGGUCCUCCACGCAGCAGCAGCAGAUGAGAUGCCCUGGCCUGGCUCAUCGGGGGACGGGCACAGUGGAUGUGGGAGGACGGGACAGUUACCCGGCCCAGGGAUCCUGCACAGACGCCUCCCGGCCCAAAGAGGCGAGUUUUGGAAACAGAGGUGAUAUUUGCCUUUCAAGGCAGCAGCCCCGGAAGCCGAAUGUUUUACUUUGGGAUCAGGCUGCCCAGGCCACACCAUGCCAAGUCCACCUCCAGCCUGUUUGCGGGGCGGGGGUGAGGACUGAACCCCACAGUCCUGAAGCCUUGGUGUGCCUGCCUGCCCCGAGGAGGCCGGGCGGGACUGGGGACACGUCGCUCAUUAGCAGGGUAGUGCCCGGGGCCUUCCCCAAACCUCCUGUGCCCGCAUGGUGAGCCCCAGGGCGCUGAGGGCCCUAGCCAGGGACCACUGGGGUGGGGUCUAAAUAUCCCAGCUCCCUCCUGAACAGACACGUGGGGAGGCCCGUGCCCACCGCUCUGGGGCCUCCUCUGUGGCCCUCGCACCCAGCCUGGCCGCCCUCCGCCCGGGCCUGCCCCUGCUGCGGGGUUUUCCUG
rnacentral:lncRNA from 1 species